rnacentral:lncRNA from 1 species
CUGACAGCUACUCCUCAAGAUCCUCUCUGUUGUGAUUCAUCCCCCCGGGGCCCUACAGUUUCUCCUUCCUGACUCUUACAUUUCUUUGGAUGGCAUCAUUAUUUUAGGUGCCAAGCACUGUGGAUUCUGCCUCUCAGUGUCCAGACACCCAUUUUCCUUCCCACUGUUCCUUCCCCAUGGAGAAGCCUGUGGCUGGCUGACAGCAGAGAGAGAUGCUCAACUUGGAGAAGGUGUUACCUGGGCCAGGUGGGGAAGGUUUGUUUGCAGAGCAAAGAAGUGAAGGAAGUAUUAACCCUUUGCAUGGCCUCCUGAGAAUCCGACAAGACGUAAAUAGCCAAGAAUAUCUGUGAAACUUCAUCACUGAGUUACAAUAUUUAUCACUGCAAGUGUGUUGUUCAUUGACACUAUAAAGCCAUGUGGAAUUAAGCAGCCUUGAAACACAAAAUGGAGAAAGGCUAAGAGCUGAGAAUUGUUGCCUUCAGGGAAAUACAAUCAAUGUCAAGCAAACAACCACCCCAAAAUGGUUAGCUUUAUCAGCAUUCAGGCCUACAGUGAACGCAAAUGUUCCAGAUCUGAGUUUCAAUUUUUAAAGAAUAAAC